UGCCACAGCAAUCUCUCCCUGUUGCCCAAGACUGGUUACUCACUGAAGCUAAGCAGGGCUGAGCCUGGUCAGUACCUGGAUUGGAGACCACAGGGGAAAACUAGGUUGCUGUUGGAA
rnacentral:rRNA from 1 species